rnacentral:lncRNA from 14 species
CAGGGAUUGCAUGGGGUGUUCUCAGAAGAAGGAAAUGUUGCUGCUGGUAUUUAAGCUAGAAAGGUGAACAUGCACUUUUAUGAAACAGGAGUUUAUAGGUGGAGUUUUGUUAAGGCACUUCUUUGAGUUUUGCUGUUUGUAGAAACAAGGAAGCUUACUGUGAACAGCUUUUAGGUCCAAAUAGAGGGGGUAGCAUAAAGGGUAGCAAGAAUGAAAUGUUUAGAUGAGCUAGUGAGUUUUGUGAGGUUUAUUUAUUUAUCAAGCUCUUCAGAAAUAUCCUCUGGCCUCCUGAACAGCAGCAAAGUAUUAGACUUACAAAUGUUUUUUCUGGAGUUAUGCAAGUCUCUUGCAGAAAAGGUUCAAAUGGAAGUGGUAGGAUUGUUAGAGGAGGCUCCAGAAACAUCUCUCAGGGUGAAGUAGCUUGGGUCUGUCCUUCUUUAGUCAUGGUCAGGGUGACAUUUUCAAGGUGCCUCCUGGCUUAAUGUUUCUGUGAUGGGACAGAGCUACCAGAUACACUGAAACCUUCCCUGCUGAAGGAAGGUAGGCACCAUGGCCUAUGGAGGUUGCCAUUAAGUUAUGGGACCCUGGAACACACGUGCCUGAUCAUCACUCUGCCAUCAAACCCUGGAAGAUUGUUGUCAUCUCCUGCAUACAGACUGCUCUGGGGCUUCCUGUCACUUUGGUUCUCCCAGGCUUGCAGGACAGUUCACUCAGCUGGAGCCCCGGCAGUACCAGAAUGGAGAUAUUUACCAUCUGUUCAAAUGCACAUUGGCUAUGGUAA